rnacentral:miRNA from 1 species
GCAGACACAUUCCAGCCAAUCAGCAGCAGACCCUCCCUCCCAGACCCUCCCACCUCCUGGACAGCAUCCAUUAUGAAGCUGCAUUCUUAGUGAGCUGUCCAGGAGGUGGGAGGGUCUGGGAGGGAGGGUCUGCUGCUGAUUGGCUGGAAUGUGUCUG